GACAGAGGGUGCGAACGUUGUUCGGAAUUACUGGGCGUAAAGGGCCAGUAGGCGGCCAACUAAGUCACACGUGAAAUCCCCCAGGCUUAACCUGGGAACUGCGUGUGAUACUGGAUGGCUUGAAUUCGGGAGAGGGAUGCAGAAUUCCAGGUGUAGCGGUGAAAUGCGUAGAUAUCUGGAGGAAUACCGGUGGCGAAGGCGGCAUCCUGGACCGACAUUGACGCUGAACGGCGAAAGCUAGGGGAGCAAACGGG
rnacentral:rRNA from 1 species